rnacentral:rRNA from 1 species
GAUGAACGCUGGCGGCGUGCCUAAUACAUGCAAGUCGAGCGAACAGACGAGGAGCUUGCUCCUUUGACGUUAGCGGCGGACGGGUGAGUAACACGUGGGUAACCUACCUAUAAGACUGGGAUAACUUCGGGAAACCGGAGCUAAUACCGGAUAAUAUUUCGAACCGCAUGGUUCGAUAGUGAAAGAUGGCUUUGCUAUCACUUAUAGAUGGACCUGCGCCGUAUUAGCUAGUUGGUAAGGUAACGGCUUACCAAGGCAACGAUACGUAGCCGACCUGAGAGGGUGAUCGGCCACACUGGAACUGAGACACGGUCCAGACUCCUACGGGAGGCAGCAGUAGGGAAUCUUCCGCAAUGGGCGAAAGCCUGACGGAGCAACGCCGCGUGAGUGAUGAAGGUCUUCGGAUCGUAAAACUCUGUUAUUAGGGAAGAACAAACGUGUAAGUAACUGUGCACGUCUUGACGGUACCUAAUCAGAAAGCCACGGCCAACUACG